rnacentral:lncRNA from 1 species
UUUACUGAAAAAGAAGAGAAAGAAGAAGAAGAGGUGUAAACUUGAAAGCAGUGAUAAGAGUUGUGAAAGUCCCUCCCUACAGUCUCAACCUGUGCAACUCUCAGAUCAAGAAGCAUCACAACCACUUAGAGAGAAAAAUAUCACAAUUACCGAUUCAGAAAAUCUUCAGUCAAAUUUGGAGCUGAGUCUUUCCACAAAAAGAAGAAGAAGAAAAAGAAAGGGUAUGAAACCUCUGAGGCAAAUGAUACAAGUUGUGAAAGUCCCUCCCUACAGCCUCAACUUGUACAACUCUCAGAUCAACAAGCACCUCAACCACUUACAGAGAAAGUUGCUACAAUAACAGAUUCAGAGAUUCCUCAAUCAAAUGUGGAGCCGGGUCUUCCUUCAAAAAAGAAGAAGAAGAAGAAGAAAAAGAAUGGGUGUGAAACCUCUAAGACCAAUGAUACAAGCUGUGAAAGUCCCUUCCUACAGCCUCCACUUGUACAACUCUCAGAUCAACAAGCACCUCAACCACUUACAGAGAAAAUUACUACAAUAACAGAUUCAGAGAGUCCCCAAUCAAAUGUGGAGCUGAGUUUUCCACAAAAUAAGAAUAAGAAGAGGAAGAAGAAGAAAGGGUGUAAAACCACUGAGACAAAUAAUCAAGAGGUAGAAAUGUCACAACCCAUUGAGGCCGUACAGCCUCAACUUGUACAUGUGAUAGAUGAAAAGCUAGAAGUUCCACAACCCAUUGAGGAUUUGAGCUUCUCAGUGAAAAGCAAGAA